rnacentral:rRNA from 1 species
GACGAACGCUGGCGGCGUGCUUAACACAUGCAAGUCGAACGAAAAGAGGGAAAGAGCUUGCUCUUUCCGGAAUUGAGUGGCAAACGGGUGAGUAACACGUAAACAACCUGCCUUCAGGAUGGGGACAACUGACGGAAACGACUGCUAAUACCGAAUAAGUUCCAAGGGCCGCAUGGCCCAUGGAAGAAAAGGUGGCCUCUACCUGUAAGCUAUCGCCUGAAGAGGGGUUUGCGUCUGAUUAGCUGGUUGGAGGGGUAACGGCCCACCAAGGCGACGAUCAGGAGCCGGUCUGAGAGGAUGAACGGCCACACUGGAAUUGAGACACGGUCCAGACUCCUACGGGAGGCAGCAGUGGGGAAUCUUCCGCAAUAGGCGAAAGCCUGACGGAGCAACGCCGCGUGAGUGAUGACGGCCUUCGGGUUGUAAAACUCUGUGAUCCGGGACGAAAAGGCAGAGUGCGAAGAACAAACUGCAUUGACGGUACCGGAAAAGCAAGCCACGGCUAACUACGUG